rnacentral:rRNA from 1 species
AACGAACGCUGGCGGCAGGCCUAACACAUGCAAGUCGAGCGGACACUCCCGGGUUAGCGGCGGACGGGUGAGUAACGAGUGGGAACUUGCCCUUUGCUUCCGAAUAGUCCUCGGAAGCUGGGCGUAAUACCAGAUACGCUCUUAUGGGGUAAGAUCUGUCGGUGAAGGAUCGGCGUGGGUUGGUUUCGGUGGUUGGUGGGGUAAUUGCCUAUCAUCCCGACGAUCGAUGGCUGGUGUGGGAGCAUGACCAGCAAGACUGGGAGUGAGACACGGCCCAGACUCCUGCGGGAGGAAGCAGUAGGGAAUCUUAGAGGAUGGGGGAAAGCCGGAUCAAGCCAGGCCGCGUGAGCGAUGAAGGCCUGAGGGUUGUAAAUCUCUUUCACCGGGGAAGAUAAUGACGGUACCCGGUAAAGAAGCCCCGGCUAACUCCGUG